rnacentral:tRNA from 1 species
GCGAUUGGCGGAAUAGAUCGAGCUGUGCCCUCCGAAGGCAAAGGUCACACGUUCGAAUCGUGUCGGGUGCGCCA